AUUCAAAUAGCUUAAAUUAAGAGCAUAGUAUUGAAGCUACUAAGGUAAUUUUAAAUUUUUGAAUA
rnacentral:tRNA from 1 species